UACGUAGGGGGCUAGCGUUGUCCGGAAUCAUUGGGCGUAAAGCGCGUGUAGGCGGUCCGGUAAGUCUGCUGUGAAAGUCGGGGGCUCAACCCUCGAAUGCCGGUGGAUACUGUCGGGCUAGAGUGCGGAAGAGGCGAGUGGAAUUCCUGGUGUAGCGGUGAAAUGCGCAGAUAUCAGGAGGAACACCUAUUGCGAAGGCAGCUCGCUGGGACGUAACUGACGCUGAGACGCGAAAGCGUGGGGAGCAAACGGG
rnacentral:rRNA from 1 species